UACAGAGGGUGCAAGCGUUAAUCGGAAUUACUGGGCGUAAAGCGUGCGCAGACGGUUGCGUAAGACAGUUGUGAAAUCCCCGGGCUCAACCUGGGAACUGCAUCUGUGACUGCAUAGCUAGAGUACGGUAGAGGGGGAUGGAAUUCCGCGUGUAGCAGUGAAAUGCGUAGAUAUGCGGAGGAACACCGAUGGCGAAGGCAAUCCCCUGGACCUGUACUGACGCUCAUGCACGAAAGUGUGGGGAGCAAACAGG
rnacentral:rRNA from 1 species